CACCGGCGGCUCGAGUGGUAACCGUUAUUAUUGGGUCUAAAGGGUCUGUAGCCGGCCGGAUAAGUCUCUUGAGAAAUCUGGCAGCUUAACUGUCAGGCUUUCAGGAGAUACUGUCUGGCUCGAGGCCGGGAGAGGUGAGAGGUACUUCAGGGGUAGGGGUGAAAUCUUGUAAUCCUUGAAGGACCACCAGUGGCGAAGGCGUCUCACCAGAACGGACCUGACGGCAAGGGACGAAAGCUAGGGGCACGAACCGGAUUAGAUACCCUGGUAGUCCCUGAGCGGG
rnacentral:rRNA from 1 species